AUCUUCUGUUAAGAGAUUGCAUUGUGACAAAGAAUGUGUGUGUUUGUGCGGAUGUAGUUUGUGUUUGUUUGUUUUUCUCUAUCUCUUUCUCUGUGUAGAUACAAAUAUUUGGGUAGUAAACAAAAGAACCAUAGUGACAGCAACAAAUCUGAAAACAAAACUGUAAUUUUUCUGAGGUGAAGUAAUCCGGAGUCAUUUAUUUCACAGAAUCACGUUAAAUGCAUUUAUGGUGAAAUUCAUUAUGAGGGGUGGUGGUCAACUUAAAAAGAAGCCAUUCAAAGCUAUACUAUGUAAUUCAAGUGGACUUCUCUGUAAGAACAUCAGACUCUUCAUAGAAGAUGAAGACUUGCCAUGAUCAAGAAUACCAGCUAUUUGCUGAAGUUCAUCUUCCAAACGAACAGCAUGGAGUACAGUACUCAUCAGAUGCUGUGAACAGGUGUAGCCCAAAUGCAACAGAUUCAGACUUUGAUGCAGCAAUGGCAGAUCACCUGAAGCACACUGGGGUUGAUGGAUACUUGUUUUAUGGCUGUUUUAACAGUAAUACAAGACUGUUAGGAAAUAAUUUGGUAGUGCCAUAGCUCUGACUUUUAACCAUUAAUGGUGGAAAACAUGAAUCACACUCCCGGAAGAGCCGGUGGUCGGGGACCAAGAAAAUGAGUAAACAUUUUGAAAAAAAUGGACUAAAGUAGUGUCAUAUGUUUUUGUAAUACUGUACUUUUGUCAUUUUCAUGUUUGAUUAAUGGCUGCUAAACAUCAAUGUUAAACUCCAUUGCUUUCGAGAUUCUACUAUUUUUAUUUUCUUGUUUGAAUAGUAGCUGUCAAACAAAUGGAAGACCAUUCAAAAAUGUGAUGUUCACUAUAAAAUAUGCUGUGCUAAAUUAAAACACUAAAUUUUGCCUAAAUCCACAAAUAAAGUGUUAUUGUUUGUGAUGUGCA